rnacentral:misc_RNA from 1 species
GAAGAUUCAUGCAGUAGAAGACUGCAAUGUAUAUGUUGGAACUCUAGACACAUUUAUAGAGGAAAGAGAAACCAUAAGAGAAACAAAGGCUUAUCUUGGUGGAAAUAUUGAUGGAAAGGAUAAGGGACCUGAACUUGGUGUCUGGGAACUGGAUCUAAGAUCUCAAUUCCCUGUUCUCUUUUUACCAUAUAGAGAAACGCAGGCUGGAAUUCCACAUUCCGAAAUUAUUGAGAAAUGCACAGAUUGUGAAGGAAGGGGAAAUAUUAUCUGUCUUACAUGCAAUGCCAAUCAAGAGCCUGGAUUUUAUAAGGAGAACCAGAUGUCUCAAUGCCCUGCUUGCUGUGGAAGGGGUUUGAUUGCUCACAGAGAUGGAUCUGACACAAUAUGCACAAAUUGUUCUGGCAAGGGGAAGAUUCCUUGUGCAACUUGUGGAUCUCGUGGGCUAAUAAAAUGCCAGAAAUGUCAAGGAAGUGGCUCUCUUUUGACGCGCAGUAUUGCCAUUGUUAGAUGGAAAACACUUUCAACUCGAAAAGUUAGUGCAACAAGUGGAGCAGCAUCAGUUCCAGACGAGGUUUUUCACAGAGCCAAAGGGGUCCAGUUGUGCAACACUCAAGCAUAUCAAUGCACUCCAGCCUUUUUUGCAGACUCAUUCUUCCUUAAUAAAUUUUCUUCUGAAGUAAUAGCAGAGAGGGCUUCUGUACCUCCCACUGCCAGAGUCAUAUGUGAGAGGCAUACCAUAUCUGUGGUGCCGGUGACACGUGUCACCAUGGCUCGUCGUGGUCGUUCCUUCAGUUUCUACAUAAUUGGUUUUAGCAGGGAGGUCUACUUAAAGGACUACUAUCCUUCUAGGUUUUGCUGGGGACUAUGUCCUUGUUUAGAAUGGUUGAAGUUGUGAUGGAAUAUACUAUGUUAGAGAUAUUGUGAAAUAUGCGGGAUGUUUGGCGACAAAUAAGGAAAAGAGGCUGUGGAUUAUGUGGUUCCUAUGUUUAAGAUAAUGAACAUUUGAUUAUC